rnacentral:rRNA from 1 species
AGAGUUUGAUCAUGGCUCAGAAUGAACGCUGGCGGCGGCCUAAUACAUGCAAGUCGAGCGAGAAGACGUAGCAAUACGUUUGUAAAGCGGCGAACGGGUGAGGAAUACAUGGGUAACCUACCCUCGAGUGGGGAAUAACUAGCCGAAAGGUUAGCUAAUACCGCGUACGCUUCUUGGACUUCGGUUCAGGGAGGAAAGCGAUACCGUGGGUAUCGCGCUCUUGGAUGGGCUCAUGUCCUAUCAGCUUGUUGGUGAGGUAACGGCUCACCAAGGCUUCGACGGGUAGCUGGUCUGAGAGGACGAUCAGCCACACUGGCACUGCGACACGGGCCAGACUCCUACGGGAGGCAGCAGUAAGGAAUAUUGCGCAAUGGGCGAAAGCCUGACGCAGCGACGCCGCAUGGGGGAUGAAGGUCUUCGGAUUGUAAACCCCUUUCGGGAGGGAAGAUGGAAUGGGGUAACCCAUUCGGACGGUACCUCCAGAAGCAGCCACGGCUAACUUCGUGCCAGCAGCCGCGGUAAUACGAAGGUGGCAAGCGUUAUUCGGAUUUACUGGGCGUACAGGGAGCGUAGGCGGUUCGGUAAGCCCUCUGUGAAAUCUUCAGGCUUAACCUGGAAAAGUCGGAGGGGACUGCCGGGCUAGAGGACGGGAGAGGAGCGCGGAAUUCCCGGUGUAGCGGUGAAAUGCGUAGAGAUCGGGAGGAAGGCCGGUGGCGAAGGCGGCGCUCUGGAACGUUUCUGACGCUGAGGCUCGAAAGCGUGGGGAGCAAACAGGAUUAGAUACCCUAGUAGUCC